CGAACGCUGGCGGCAGGCUUAACACAUGCAAGUCGAACGCCCUCUUCGGAGGGAGUGGCAGACGGGUGAGUAACGCGUGGGAAACUACCUUUCGGUACGGAACAACAGUUGGAAACGACUGCUAAUACCGUAUACGUCCUUAGGGAGAAAGAUUUAUCGCCGAUAGAGGUGCCCGCGUUGGAUUAGCUUGUUGGUGAGGUAAUGGCUCACCAAGGCGACGAUCCAUAGCUGGUCUGAGAGGAUGAUCAGCCACACUGGGACUUAGACACGGCCCAGACUCCUACGGGAGGCAGCAGUGGGGAAUAUUGGACAAUGGGCGCAAGCCUGAUCCAGCCAUGCCGCGUGAGUGAUGACGGCCUUAGGGUUGUAAAGCUCUUUCAGUGGUGAAGAUAAUGACGGUAACCACAGAAGAAGCCCCGGCUAACUCC
rnacentral:rRNA from 1 species